rnacentral:misc_RNA from 1 species
UUGUGGAGGAGGACGCCGAAGGUGGGGCUAAUGACUGGGGUGAAGUCGUAACAAGGUAGCCGUACCGGAAGGUGCGGCUGGAUCACCUCCUAACAGGGAGACAACAAAAUGUAAAUAUUAAUUUUGUCACCUUAGGUCGAUCGGUAUCUCAGAUUCUUGAAUUUUCAAGAAUUUUAGUUUCUAAGUUUUUUCUAGGUCACACCCAUCAUUUUUCCUGGGCCAUUAGCUCAGGUGGUUAGAGCGCACCCCUGAUAAGGGUGAGGUCCCUGGUUCAAGUCCAGGAUGGCCCAUAUCUCUAUGUUGGGGGUAUAGCUCAGUUGGUAGAGCGCCUGCUUUGCAAGCAGGGUGUCAGCGGUUCGAGUCCGCUUACCUCCACUGAAUACCACCUCUUACAUAAAGUCAAUGAGGAAAAAUUUGUUGAGUUGUGUCCUUUUUCGCUCUGAGCGAAUCUAGCUUCCUAUUUUUUUCUAAAAUAAAUAAGAUGCUGGAUUCAUUGAAUCUUAUUCAUUGUUUUCAGAGAACCUUGACAACUGCAUAGAUUAUUUAAAGACAAUAAGCAUCUAUAUAAUGAUGCAGAUUUAUUAUUUGUGCUGAUGCAUUAAAUAACAAUUCUAUUAAGCUGAUGCUUCUAUUAUGAAGUUAUUGGUCAAGCUACAA